GGGGGGGGGGGGGGGCGGGCGGGGGGGGGGGGGGGCGGGCGGGGGGGGCCGGCUGGUGGGGGGUGCUCGAGGGGCGAACGGGUGGGUAACACGUGAGUAACCUGCCCUUGACUUUGGGAUAACUUCAGGAAACUGGGGCUAAUACCGGAUAGGCGCUCCUGCUGCAUGGUGGGGGUUGGAAAGUUUCGGCGGUUGGGGAUGGACUCGCGGCUUAUCAGCUUGUUGGUGGGGUAGUGGCUUACCAAGGCUUUGACGGGUAGCCGGCCUGAGAGGGUGACCGGCCACAUUGGGACUGAGAUACGGCCCAGACUCCUACGGGAGGCAGCAGUGGGGAAUAUUGCACAAUGGGCGGAAGCCUGAUGCAGCAACGCCGCGUGCGGGAUGACGGCCUUCGGGUUGUAAACCGCUUUCGCCUGUGACGAAGCGUGAGUGACGGUAAUGGGUAAAGAAGCACCGGCUAACUACGUG
rnacentral:rRNA from 1 species